CCUGCCCCCUUCUCCAUAGGGAGGAGGGAAGCGCCCCUACUUCGGGAAGUCGCCUUUUCCCGCUGACAAGCUGCCCCCGCCGGUUCGCAGCUCCGGGCUCUGAGCUCCAGAUCGCAGCCCCUAUCCCGGAGCGAAGCUAAGGCAACUGCGUCUCCUCUCACCGACAAGACUCCGGCUCAGACGGGUGGGCGGCGAGUAGGGCUCCAGUCACAGACUGGCGCUAGCAAAAUGGAGGAGGAGAGGCAGUGAUGUGUGGUAGAGGAGGAAGAGGAGGAGGAGGGCCAGCGAUGUCUGGUGGAGGAGGAGGAGGGCAAGCAAAGUCUGGUAAAGGAGGAGGAGGAGGGCCAGCGAUGUCUGGUAGAGGAGGAGGACGAGGGCCAGCAAUGUCUGGUAAAGGAGAAGGAGGAGGAGGAGGAGGAGGGCGGCCAGCGAUGUCUGGAGGAGGAGGAGGAGGAGGAGGGCCAGCAAUGUCUGGUAGAGGAGGAGUAGUACGAGGGCCAGCAAUGUGUGGUAGAGGAGGAGGAAGAGGAGGAGGAGGAGGAGGAGGAGAGGCAGUGUUGUCUGGUAGAGGAGGAAGAGGAGGAGGGCCAGUGAUGUCUGGUAGAGAAGGAGGAGGAGGAGGAGAGGCAGCGAUGUCUGGUAGACGAAGAAGAGGAGAAGGGCCAGCAAUGUCUGGUGGAGGAGGAGGAGGAGGAAGGCCAGCAAUGUCUGGUGGAGGAGGAGGAGGAGGAAGGCCAGCAAUGUCUGGUAGAGGAGGAAGAGGAUGAGGAGGAUGAGUUGGACGAGGGCCAGUGAUGCCUGGUAGUGGAGGAGGAGGAGGAAGUCCAGCAAUGUCUGGUAAAGGAGAAGGAGGAGGGCCAGCAAUGUCUGGAAGAGGAGGAGGAGGAGGAGGAGGAGGAGGGCCAGCUAUGUCUGGUUCAGGAGGAGGAGGAGGAGGGCCAGUGAUGUCUGGUAGAGGAGGAGGAGGAGGAGGAGGAGGACGGCCAGCGAUGUCUGGUAGAGGAGGAGGAGGAGGAGGAGGAGGAGGGGCAGUGAUGUGUGGUAGAGGAGGAAGAGGAGGAGGAGGGCCAGCGAUGUCUGGUGGAGGAGGAGGAGGGCAAGCAAAGUCUGGUAAAGGAGAAGGAGGAGGGCCAGCGAUGUCUGGUAGAGGAGGAGGAGGAGGAGGAGGAAGUCCAGCAAUAUCUGGUAAAGGAGAAGGAGGAGGGCCAGCAAUGUCUGGUGGAGGAGGAGGAGGAGGAGGGCCAGUGAUGUCUGGUGGAGGAGGAGGAGGAGGAGGGCCAGUGAUGUCUGGUAGAGGAGGAGGAGGUGGAGGAAAAGGGCCAGCGAUGUCUGGUAGAGGAGCAGAAGGAGGAGGAGGAGGAGGGCCAUCAAUAUCUGGUAGAGGAGGAGGAGGAGGGCCAGCAAUGUGUGGUAAAGGAGAAGGAGGAGGAGGAGGAGGAGGAGAGGCAGUGUUGUCUGGUAGAGGAGGAAGCGGAGGAGGAGGAGGAGGAAGGUCAGAAAUGUCUGGUAGAGGAGGAGGAGGAGGAAGGCCAGUGAUGUCUGGAGGAGGAGGA
ensembl:lncRNA